GGGUGUAUAGCUCAGUGGUAGAGCAUUCGGCUGCAGAUCGAGAGGCCUCCUGGUUCAAAUCCGGGUGUCCCCU